UGCUUUAAUAAUCCCAUGAAAGGUCUCUUUUCCUAGCAGUUUUUGCAACCAUGUUCUCCCUCUGCGGGGACUUGAGCUGAAAAGACUAAAGUGGAUAAUGCAUUUGCAAUGAUAAAACUCUCUCUUCUUUUUUCUAAAACUAUCUCUUCUUUUUUCCACCUUUGCCAGACUUGGAUGAUGCAGCAACUGAUGUGGAUGUAGGCUCCUGCUUCUUAGUCCU
rnacentral:misc_RNA from 1 species